rnacentral:rRNA from 1 species
UACGUAGGUGGCAAGCGUUGUCCGGAUUUACUGGGCGUAAAGAGCGCGCAGGCGGUCGUAUAAGUCGAAUGUGAAAGCCCGCGGCUCAACUGGGGAGGGUCAUUCGAUACUGUUCGACUCGAAGGCAGGAGAGGGAAGUGGAAUUCCGGGUGUAGUGGUGAAAUGCGUAGAUAUCCGGAGGAACACCAGUGGCGAAGGCGACUUUCUGGCCUGUUCUUGACGCUGAGGCGCGAAAGCUAGGGGAGCAAACAGG